rnacentral:rRNA from 1 species
GAACGCUGGCGGAUGCCCCCAGUGUUAUGAACGAAGGCUCGGCUUGUGUACACGGGUGCAGUACGCGUGGGAAUCUGCCCUCAGGUUCCGAAUAACAUCGGGAAACUGAAGCUAAUACCGGAUGAUAUCGCAAGAUCAAAGAUUUAUCGCCUGAGGAUGAGCCCGCGUAGGAUUAGCUAGUUGGUGUGGUAAAGGCGCACCAAGGCGACGAUCCUUAGCUGGUCUGAGAGGCUGAUCAGCCACACUGGGACUGAGACACGGCCCAGACUCCUACGGGAGGCAGCAGUGGGGAAUAUUGGACAAUGGGCGAAAGCCUGAUCCAGCAAUGCCGCGUGAGUGAUGAAGGCCUUAGGGUUGUACAGCUCUUUUACCCGGGAUGAUACUGACACGUACCGGAGAAAUAAGCUCCGGAUAUCUCCGUGCCAGCAAGCCGCGGGUAACUACGGACGGGAGCUUAGCGUUAUUCGGGAAUUACAUGGGCCGUAAAGCGCAAGUUCGC